rnacentral:rRNA from 1 species
UUUAGCAAGAACACCUGAGCAAAAAGAAUUUUAGUUCAGCCCCCCGAAACUAGACGAGCUACUUCAGGACAGCCUGGAAAAAUAUUUCCCCGUAGGGCACACCCGUCUCUGUCGCAAAAGAGUGGGAAGAUCUUCAAGUAGCGGUGACAAACCUACCGAGCCUAGUUAUAGCUGGUUGUCUAAGAAAUGAAUGUAAGUUCAGCCUCCUGACCUCCCCCAUCAACGGCACCACGCCUCUACAGAUAAACGACUAGUCAAGAGAGUUAGUCAAAGGGGGUACAGCCCCUUUGAAAAAGGACACAACCUCUACAGGUGAAAAAAGAUCAUACGACAUAAAGGAAACUAAUUUUAGUGGGCCCAAAAGCAGCCACCUACAAAGAAAGCGUUGUAGCUCCUAUAGUCCCCAAGCCCUUAAUACCGAACCCCGCUCUUCACUCCCUAACCACUAUUAGACCCUCCCAUAAACCCUGGGAAAGACCCUGCUAAAAUGAGUAACAAGAGGGCACGCCCCUCUCCCCUCACAAGUGUAAGUCGGAACGGACCAACCACCGACAAUUAACGAACCCCCAACGAGGGAAGUGUAGGACUACACAAAUAACAAGAAAACUAUACACAAAAAUUCGUUACCCCAACACAGGUGUGAACCCACGGAAAGACUAAACCAAAGGGAAGGAACUCGGCAAACACAAGCCUCGCCUGUUUACCAAAAACAUCGCCUCUUGCAAAAUUAACGAAUAAGAGGUCCCGCCUGCCCAGUGACUACGUGUUAAACGGCCGCGGUAUUUUGACCGUGCAAAGGUAGCGCAAUAAAUUGUCUCCUAAUUAGAGACGAGUAUGAAUGGCAUCACGAGGGCUUAACUGUCUCCCCUUUAAAGUCAGUGAAAUUGAUCUCCCCGUGCAGAAGCGUGGAUACACUCGUAAGACGAGAAGACCCUACGGAGCUUUAGAUAUAAAUCAACCCACGUCAAAACCCCCCCCGAAAGGAAAAGAACAAAGUGUACUUUUGAUGGAAUAUCUUUGGUUGGGAUGACCGCGGAGAAAAAUAAAACCCCCGCACGGACGGGCCAACCAGCCCUUAAAAAUAGACCCACAGGUCAAAUUAACAGUACUUCUGACCGCCAGACCCGGCAAAAGCCGAUCAAUGGACCUAGUUACCCUAGGGAUAACAGCGCAAUCCCCUCCAAGAGACCCUAUCAACGAGGGGGCUUACGACCUCGAUGUUGGAUCAGGACAUCCUAAUGGUGCAGUCGCUAUUAAGG